rnacentral:rRNA from 1 species
CUGUGAGAAAAUUGUGGUGUUCAAAGCAGGCGUUUCGCCUGAUCCUUUGCAGCAUGGUAUGAUAGAACACGACACCUAACGCCACAUUGGUUGCGAUUAAGUGUAAUGAUUAAUAGGGAUGGAUGGGGAUGUUCAUAUUGGUGGGCGAGAGGUGAAAUUCGUUGACCCUAUCAAGAUGAACUUCUGCGAAAGCAUUCAUCAAAUACUUCCCCAUUAAUCAAGAACGAAAGUUUGGGGAUCGAAGACGAUCAGAUACCGUCGUAGUCCAAACUAUAAACUAUGUCGACCAGGGAUCGGCUGGAGUUCUUUAAAAAUCCAGUCGGCACCUUGUGAGAAAUCACGAGUGUUUAGAUUCCGGGGGGAGUAUGGUCGCAAGUCUGAAACUUAAAGGAAUUGACGGAAGGGCACACAAUGGAGUGGAGCCUGCGGCUUAAUUUGACUCAACUCGGGAAAACUUACCAAGCUAAGAUAUAGCUAGGAUUGACAGACUAAAAGAUCUUUCAUGAUUCUAUAAGUGGUGGUGCAUGGUCGUCUUAGUUGGUGAGCGAUUGCUGAUCCCG